CAGCAGCCGCGGUAAUACAGAGGGUGCAAGCGUUAAUCGGAAUUACUGGGCGUAAAGCGCGCGUAGGUGGUUUGUUAAGUUGGAUGUGAAAUCCCCGGGCUCAACCUGGGAACUGCAUCCAAAACUGGCAAGCUAGAGUAUGGUAGAGGGUGGUGGAAUUUCCUGUGUAGCGGUGAAAUGCGUAGAUAUAGGAAGGAACACCAGUGGCGAAGGCUACCACCUGGACUGAUACUGACACUGAGGUGCGAAAGCGUGGGGAGCAAACAGGAUUAGAUACCCGCGUAGUCCCUGUCUCUUAUAC
rnacentral:rRNA from 1 species